rnacentral:rRNA from 1 species
CCCUUAGAUGUUCUGGGCCGCACGCGCGCUACACUGAUGCAUUCAACGAGCCUAUCCUUGACCGACAGGUCCGGGUAAUCUUUGAAUCUGCAUCGUGACGGGGAUAGAUUAUUGCAAUUAUUAAUCUUCAACGAGGAAUGCCUAGUAGGCGCAAGUCAUCAGCUUGCGUCGAUUACGUCCCUGCCCUUUGUACACACCGCCCGUCGCUCCUACCGAUUGGGUGGGCUGGUGAAAUGUUCGGAUCGGCCGUUUGUCGCGGUUUCCGCGGCUCGUGGCUGAGAAGUUCAUUAAACCCUCCCACCUAGAGGAAGGAGAAGUCGUAACA